AACGAACGCUGGCGGCGUGGAUAAGACAUGCAAGUCGAACGGGACUUUUUCUGGUAGCAAUACCGGAAAAGUCUAGUGGCGAACGGGUGCGUAACACGUGGACAAUCUGCCUUAAAGUGGGGGAUAGCUCGGCGAAAGCCGAAUUAAUACCGCAUGUGGAUGAGGGAAGACAUCUUUCUGAAAUCAAAGCCGCCCAGCACUUUCAGUUGAUUUGGAAAUUCAGGAGAGGACACCGUUUUCAUCGAGCGGCGGUCGUUUCAAAGGAAAUAGAGAAUCGAUUGAAAGUGCUGGGUGGCGCUUUUUGAGGGAGUCCGCGGCCUAUCAGCUUGUUGGUGAGGUAACGGCUCACCAAGGCUAUGAC
rnacentral:rRNA from 1 species